rnacentral:tRNA from 1 species
GCGGAAGUGGUGAAAUUGGUAUACACGCUACUUUGAGGGGGUAGUGCCGUAACUGGCUUGCGGGUUCGAGUCCCGCCUUCCGCACCA